rnacentral:rRNA from 1 species
GUGCUAGCGUCCGUCAUCAUUUUUUUUUCAUGGGAGCGCUGGACCAAGGUGGAGGGGAGCGUCGGAAGGUUUAUUUUUUUUUGUUCUGGGUGCAGGGCAGAGGGUCAGAGGGGGUGGAGAGAGAGGGCUAGGUAGGAGAGCUAGAGCGCUCUUUUUAGCGGUGGAGCGGAGGCGGUGACGUUGUUGGCAGCGAAGGUAUCUGAUGCAGCUGUCGCAGAAUCUUCCAACUGGGGACGCCCCUUCAACCGCCCUCGAGCGCCGGCUGGUCUAGGUCACGUCGCGGCGGCUACAGACCCACCUUCUACUCGCGCUCGAAAGCCCCAGUCGUAUGGCGGCCCCUCCUCCCGUCUGCCUACUCUCCCUCCGAGAGGUUCCUCCUUCGGCUGGUCGAACAGUGGUCCCCUUCGGCUGGUCGUAUAUAUAUCCCCACCUGAUAGAAACUCUAGGACGCCAUGUACAGCCUCGUAUUGACCAGCCACAUGCUCCUCCGGGAGUUCCGGUUAGGCCAAGAACCGUUCUACUACUAGUAGUCGCAGCAGAUGAGGGAGCCGCUGACCUAUCGGGUCGGGUCCCACGAGCUCGCGCUGCUGUGCGGAUGACUCAAGGAUCGCGAGCGCUUGCGGCCUCAACCUGCGCGGGUACGUACGUAAAAUCUAGGCUCCUGCCGUAGCACUUGCAUUCGUGAGUCAACGAGGAGUCGUCGUCAACUAGGUGGACCCCAAGAUGAACUCAAGGAGGCAGGGGACCGUCGCUCCGUCGUCCAGGGGCAGGGGGGAGAGGCAGAGGCCGUACAACUAGGGCCACCGCAGUGUCGCCACCGUACACACCACAGUACAGUAUUAUUCCAUCGUAGACAAGAAAGGGGUGGGAUUAAAAACACCAGUCGUAGGCCUCGGGUUGGAUGGUUAGCAACAGGGGUUUGGAGUGACUGAAGAAUACACCCACGAGAAAGAAGGGGGAGAGAGCAAAGUGAACUGCGACUAUCGACUAACGAUCUUAGGAGCCAACACGAGAACAGAAGAUUUAAACCGUACCAUACGUAAACGAACUCUACUCCCAUACCCUACCUCCACCGUUAUUAAAGCUCCAACACCAAAUAACCCGAAUAUUAAAGCUGUACUAAUUACUAUACUUGGCAUACAAGUCAAAAGGUGUUAUAACCAAAAAAGAUACGUUAUACUCCGAUACAAAGUUCAAUAAUAAUAGAUAACGGAACGUAAGCUACCGACAUGUCAUUGUACGAGAGACUCUUUUCCAAUACAAAGUACAAUAAUAAUAGAUAACGGAACGUAAGCUACCGUUUAACUGUUGGCUACAGUAUAGAAACGGGUGAGUACUACGGCUAUUUAUCAAGUUUUUUUAAUCUUUCUGCAUAUAUAAAGUGACACGAUCGAUGCAUACAAAUAUUACCAAAUAAAAGUGGUUUUAAAACGACGUGAAACUGUCAUCUGAUACACUAUUAAACAUUGUCUCAAGUCUCUUUGACCCGUUGUGUGUCAAGGUUUUCACACGUGAUGUGUACCUUCUUUUGUGACAUCAUAAUCGACAACAUUAGAUGCUUUAAAACAUGACGCACUCACUCCAAUUCUUACCGAUUGACUAACUUGAACAAGUGUUGUAAUUGUCAUUAGUACUACUUGAAUCAUAAGGACUGAAAGAUAAAGUACAACAAAAGAUGACAUCUGGAUAAACGUCCAAAAAUGUCUCCUUAAUCAAAUCCACAAUGACCAAGUGAACGAUGUAGACUUUGCAUAAAACAACAAUAACAAUGACUUAGUUGAUUCUGUACCGACCUCGUGUGAUUAGGAUUAGAUUCUCCGGUAAAGAGAGUGAAUAAACGACCUCCUCAAUUCUCUCUUUUAUAAAAAAUACUGAUAACACAAAAGAAAGGUCUUUUAGACGUACUGCGCCGCAUUUUAAAUAUGACCAAGAGUCGUACAAUGAUCCUAGAUCGACGUGUUUACCUAAAAACAUACAGGACGUACGUAACAACUCCUUUAACAAUUGACCAUCAACAAGCCAACCGACCACUCAUCCCCUAAUUAGCCGAUUAGCCGUUCAAUUAGCCGGUAAAUUAGUUGAUUAGCCUGCUAAAUAGCCAAAUAUCCGAUGAGCCACUGGGAUGCUCAUCCCUAAUUAGCCGUUCAAUUGACCAAUUAGCCUACUUAAGAACUUGUCCCGGACGUACCUCAAGAGUUUUUCAAUAAGGAACAGUAAAACAUCACGGUGGUUAUGUAACCCAGAAACAUAUAAUUUUGGAAAGACCAGAGACAAAACCGAGUACAUUAUGAAUGGCUAUGCUAAAUGAACAAGUAGUCUUAUUACACAACUAAGGAACUGUGUAGUAUUCGAAAAAAGUUCGAGUAAGGUCCUCUAUGUGAACGUAGAAAAUAGAUACACUACACGGAACACUUCAAGACUUUGUUCCUUACGUACUGGUUCCGAGGUUGUUUAGUAGUCGUGAUUUACGAUGUCUUCCUUUACUAGAUACGGUAGACAAAAUAGAUCUCUCUAGUACCACACUUCCCUGAGUUAUAUCCCAUGACCAUGACUCACGAACAACGGUAUUGUAUAAAGAAGACAAAAGAAUAUCUCUUUAUUUACUCAAGAAAGCCGGGUUGUUUUCUUUUGUAUAUCAUAGAAGUUCCUUCGUCGUAAAACUCAGUUGUUUAAAAAGGGGGGUACGGUUUUACCUUAGGUACCAUCAGAUCGUAUGAGCUUAUGGCACUAUGUUCAUCCUCAUAGUUUAUGUUCUUUAAAGAAAAAAUACGCGUGUAAGAACCUUCGUACUCACAUACAAGUACCUCUUUUGUACCAGUUAAAAACACAUUUUUUGACUAUUACAAGUUAUGUACAAAUCGUACCCGUCGGUCUGAAGACAAACGAGGCGGUCUGUUUUGGACCAUUGUUACCCAACCUUUCACCUGUUUGUCCUUUUCUCUUGACUCUUCUUCACGGUUCACCAGACGAACCUCAAUCCCCUUAAGUUUCACGUAAACACCAAUAACAAAGACGUAAUACGAACAUAAGUGUUUAACAAGCCGUUUUUACCUUCGUUGACACAUUACCAGUUUCGUAUAGUAGUUCCUGUUUAUCGAUUAGUCUUAAUGAAGACAAAAAUAAACGUAUACUACGGUUAUCGAAAUGAACUUUGUGUAGAACUUCAACUUCACUGUAGAACAACAAAACCCCAUAAUACACUGAUAAAAAACAUGUUACACUUUCUUUGAAUUUAAUGUACUCCGCUUACAUACAUAUCCCCUUCGUUCACAUUCCACUACAAAAACUUUACGUCACUAUUAACGUACCGUGACUAAGAACUUCAAUGUUACUACAAAAUUAGUUACAGAGUUAUAUGUACAAACAACUCGGAUAUUGAGAAGUAUUUUAUUAACUUUAAUUACGUCGAACACGUUUUUAUUGUCCAACC